AGCUUCCAUGGCGCCUGUUUAUCAAAAACAUGGUUUUUUGAGAUAAUAAAAAAUCUUGCCUGCUCCAUGCUUAUGUAAAUAGCCGCAGUAUUUUGACUGUGCUAAGGUAGCAUAAUCAUUUGUCUUUUGAAUGAAGUCUAGAAUGAAGGGUAAGUCGAAAAGAAAUCUGUCUUUUUGUUAUAAGAUGAAUUUAAUUAUUUAGUAAAAAGGCUAGAAUUUAUUUAAGGGACGAUAAGACCCUAUUGAACUUAAUUUAUAAUUUUGCUGGGGCGGUAAGAUAAGAGUAGAAUCUUAUCUAAGUGGAUUUGAAUUUAUAGACCCAAUAUUAUUGAGGGUUAGAUGAAGUUACCGUAGGGAUAACAGCUUAAUUUUUUCUUGAAGAUCUUAUUUUAGAAAAAGUUUGGGACCUCGAUGUUGAAUUAAAGAUUCUUUUUAGUGUAGAAGCUAAGCUGAGAAAGUCUGUUCUAAUUUCAAAUCUUUACGUGAUCUAAAUUCAGACCG
rnacentral:rRNA from 1 species